rnacentral:rRNA from 1 species
GGGUUGUGAGGUUAAGCGACUAAGCGUACACGGUGGAUGCCCUGGCAGUCAGAGGCGAUGAAGGACGUGCUAAUCUGCGAAAAGCGCCGGCGAGGUGAUAUGAACCUUUGACCCGGCGAUGUCCGAAUGGGGAAACCCAGUGUGAUUCGUCACACUAUCGUUAACUGAAUACAUAGGUUAACGAGGCGAACCGGGGGAACUGAAACAUCUAAGUACCCCGAGGAAAAGAAAUCAACCGAGAUUCCCCCAGUAGCGGCGAGCGAACGGGGAGCAGCCCAGAGUCUGAAUCAGCUUGUGUGUUAGUGGAAGCGUCUGGAAAGUCGCACGGUACAGGGUGACAGUCCCGUACACGAAAACACACAGGUUGUGAACUCGAAGAGUAGGGCGGGACACGUGGUAUCCUGUCUGAAUAUGGGGGGACCAUCCUCCAAGGC